rnacentral:misc_RNA from 1 species
AAAUGCGAUAACUAGUGUGAAUUGCAGAAUUCCGUGAAUCAUCGAGUCUUUGAACGCACAUUGCGCCCCCUGGUAUUCCGGGGGGCAUGCCUGUCCGAGCGUCAUUGCUGCCCAUCAAGCACGGCUUGUGUGUUGGGUCGUCGUCCCCUCUCCGGGGGGGACGGGCCCAAAGGCAGCGGCGGCACCGCGUCCGAUCCUCGAGCGUAUGGGGCUUUGUCACCCGCUCUGUAGGCCCGGCCGGCGCUUGCCGAACGCAAAUCAAUCUUUUUCCAGGUUGACCUCGGAUCAGGUAGGGAUACCCGCUGAACUUAAGC